rnacentral:rRNA from 1 species
UACAGAGGGUGCAAGCGUUGUUCGGAAUCAUUGGGCGUAAAGGGCGCGUAGGCGGUGUAUCAAGUCGAAUGUGAAAGCCCAGGGCUCAACCUUGGAAGUGCAUCCGAAACUGGUACACUAGAAUCUCGGAGAGGGUGGUGGAAUUCCCAGUGUAGAGGUGAAAUUCGUAGAUAUUGGGAGGAACACCGGUGGCGAAGGCGACCACCUGGACGAAGAUUGACGCUGAGGCGCGAAAGCGUGGGUAGCAAACAGG